AUUGAACGCUGGCGGCAGGCCUAACACAUGCAAGUCGAGCGGAUGAAGGGAGCUUGCUCCUGGAUUCAGCGGCGGACGGGUGAGUAAUGCCUAGGAAUCUGCCUUGGAGUGGGGGAUAACGUCCGGAAACGGGCGCUAAUACCGCAUCCGUCCUGAUGUAGAAAGUGGGGGAUCUUCGGACCUCACGCUAUCAGAUGAUCCUAGGUCGGAUUAGCUAGUUGGUGGGGUAAAGGCCUACCAAGGCGACGAUCCGUAACUGGUCUGAGAGGAUGAUCAGUCACACUGGAACUGAGACACGGUCCAGACUCCUACGGGAGGCAGCAGUGGGGAAUAUUGGACAAUGGGCGAAAGCCUGAUCCAGCCAUGCCGCGUGUGUGAAGAAGGUCUUCGGAUUGUAAAGCACUUUAAGUUGGGAGGAAGGGCAGUAAGUUAAUACCUUGCUGUUUUGACGUUACCAACAGAAUAAGCACCGGCUAACUUCGUG
rnacentral:rRNA from 1 species